UACGUAGGCAGCAAGCGUUGUUCGGAGUUACUGGGCGUAAAGAGCUCGUAGGCGGUUCAGUAAGUCAGGUGUGAAAUCUUUGGGCUUAACCCAAAGCGUGCACUUGAUACUGCUGUGACUUGAGUUCGGUAGGGGAGUGGGGAAUUCCUAGUGUAGCGGUGAAAUGCGCAGAUAUUAGGAGGAACACCGGUGGCGAAGGCGCCACUCUGGGCCGAAACUGACGCUGAGGAGCGAAAGCGUGGGUAGCAAACAGG
rnacentral:rRNA from 1 species